GUCACUUGGCAGAGACGGGAAAUCACCACCAAAACUAGGCAUCAGACCACUUUGUGACCCUUCGUGGAUAUUCUCAUUUCUGGAGGGCCACUGAUCUCCAAGACAUGAGGAUUGUGCUGCUGUCGGACAGACUGGCAGGAAAGGCUUCAGCAGCAGACAUCAUCCUGGGCCGAGAGGAAUGUGAUUCUAACAUAGUCACUCUGCAGUGUGUGAAGAGGCAGGGAGAGGUAGCUGGCCGGCAGGUUACUCUGGUGCCACCCAAGCAUGGAGAUAUUAUGAAUAUAUGGUUCUUAUGACCACUCCCAUGGUUGUUAAGCAAGUGGAAUGCCAUGUCUUAUCACGUAGCUGUCUUGGGUGAAGCUGUCUGGAGCCACUCUCUAGUUCUGUUCAUUACCGACAAACCUCUGACAGAGUCAGCUUUUGAGGUUAAAGGAAGGGUGCUCCGGCGGCUUUUAGAGAAAUGUGGGGAAAGAUAUCAUGUCCUAAACACCACCGACAAGGAUGAUAGUCAAGUGACAGACCUACUGGAGAAGAUUGACAAAAUGGUGAUAGAAAGCAGAAACAGGGGCACUCACUUUGAGAUGGAUAGAGAGGUUUUGGAGGCGCAGAAGAGAGAGAAGGAGAAGCAGAAGUCUCAGGAGGUGAAGGCAGAGGAAAGAAUGAAGAUUGUGCAAAGAGGCCCAGAAAGCUCUCUAAAAGGAGAUACAUUCUUGCCAGAUCUCAGAAUCGUGUUGCUGUGUCGUGUUUCAUCAGGAAACACCAUCCUCAGCAGAGAGGAGUUUCAGCCUGGACCGAGAUCUGCUGUUUGUGUGCAGAGGCAUGGAUAAGUUUGUUUGAAUGGCAGGUCCCUGUAGUAGAGGCUCCAGGGUGGCAGGGUUGUUACACAUCACAGUACUCAGGAGGGAUUCUCAGAAGAGAGAUUGUGCUCAGUCAGUCUGUGUGCAAUCAGGGUCCCCACGUCUUUCUACUAGUCAUACGACUAGAUGUGGGUUUCACCAGAGUUACGUUGAGCUUCUCGGUGAGAGAGUGUGGAGUCACACGAUGGUGUUGUUCACCUAUGGGGACUGGCUGGGAAAUAUGACCAUUGAGCAGUACAUUGAGGGUGAAGGAGGGACCCUACACUGGCUCAUUGACAAAUGUGGGAACAGAUAUCACGUCUUCAACAAUCAGAAAAGAUGCGACCGGAGUCAGGUUGAAGAGCUGCUGGAGAAAGUUGAGGAAAUGGUGGCAGGGAAUGGUGGUCAUCAUUAUGAUAUAGACCAAAAGAUUGCUGAACAGAUGGAGGAGAAGAAGAGAGUGGACAACCAAGCCGCUGAAGAGAUGAUGAAGGUGAAGAAACAGAAGGAACGUCUCAUGGAAGGGAUGAAGAUAACACCUCUCUCCAACCUGAGGAUAGUUUUGCUGGGAUUUAAAUACGCAGAGAGGAGUUCAACAGGGAACACCAUUCUUGAAGGUUGGAGAUGAUGACCGUCCGAUAUAACGUCCUUGAUAAGCUCUGCCUAUGAAACUCAAGCGUCUCAACCCGAAACUGAAGUCCCCUCUGAACAUGCCUCUGUGAAGUCAGCAUCUGCUAGCUCUGGGAUAGGCUCUUUGAGUUCUGCUACACUUGGAGGCUCUGUGGAACAUUGGAAGACUAAUUCAGUUGAAUGCUCCAAUCAGCAGCAGAGGCACACAAAACCACGCUAUGUAGAAAACAUUUGUGCUUUUGCUGGUCUUUCAAAAUACUUCUGAAAUAUAUAUUUUUUUUUUUUUUAUCAAAUCUCAUGUGGUUGUUGUUCCACAAUGGUGGAACAAGCUACCAAGUGCUACCAGAUUAAGGGCAUCCCUCUCCAUCUUCAAUAAGCUCUGAAGAUCCAACUUUUCUGGGAAUACCUCCUCUCCUCACACAGUGCGCUCUCUUUUCUGUCUACUGUUACGAGGCGGUGCAGGCCCACACUCUUCUUUGUCUAGGGUAUUACUGUCAACACCAACAGCCUACCGCAACUCACAACAAACAGAAAAGAAACACAGAAAGACCCAACAGCUACCCUAGCCCUACGUGUAGGGAUGUCACGAUUAGAGAUUUUGGUGGUACAAUAAUUGUCUGAGGAAUAAUCACAAUUUCACGAUUAUUACGAUUAUUUUGCAUGAAUAUUUUUCACAACAGUACUAAUGUAUAAAAUCACACAAACACAUUCUUUAGAGGUUUUGGUCUUUAAAGGUUAUUUAUUGCUGUUUUUUCACAGUAAGACACUGCAUAGUAAUAAUAAAAUAAUCACUCUGCUUUGUAAACUAUAUCCGCAUUUCCCUUUUGGAAAAAAAUGUCAAAAGCUGUAGUCACUCUCCUGAUAAUUUAACACACCAUUAAAGAGUGUUUUAAUAUUUCCAGUUUGUGCAUUCUUUCAACAUUUGUUUUGGAGGUAGAUAAUGAAAACAUGGAAUAGGCUAGAUAGAAAUUGAAUUGAGAACAUCUAGACAACAUCCUAAAUUCUGCUCCACCCUCCACAGACACACACAGAAGAUUAUGGCUAAAUGUCAUGUUUCUAUGUCAUAUUCUUUGACUAUCGCCCUUCUAUGCUUUUAUUUAGUAUUACUGUUUGCUUUUGUUUAUGUAAAGCACAUUGAAUUACCUCUGUGUAUGAAAUGCACUAUAUAAAUAAA